GAUGAACGCUGGCGGCGUGCCUAAUACAUGCAAGUCGAGCGAACAGACGAGGAGCUUGCUCCUCUGACGUUAGCGGCGGACGGGUGAGUAACACGUGGAUAACCUACCUAUAAGACUGGGAUAACUUCGGGAAACCGGAGCUAAUACCGGAUAAUAUAUUGAACCGCAUGGUUCAAUAGUGAAAGACGGUUUUGCUGUCACUUAUAGAUGGAUCCGCGCCGCAUUAGCUAGUUGGUAAGGUAACGGCUUACCAAGGCAACGAUGCGUAGCCGACCUGAGAGGGUGAUCGGCCACACCGGAACUGAGACACGGUCCAGACUCCUACGGGGGCAGCAGUAGGGAAUCUUCCGCAAUGGGCGAAAGCUUGACGGAGCAACGCCGCGUGAGUGAUGAAGGUCUUCGGAUCGUAAAACUCUGUUAUUAGGGAAGAACAAAUGUGUAAGUAACUAUGCACGUCUUGACGGUACCUAAUCAGAAAGCCACGGCUAACUACGUG
rnacentral:rRNA from 1 species